rnacentral:rRNA from 1 species
ACGGGGUGCAGCAGGCGAGAAAACUUUGCAAUGUGCGCAAGCACGACAAGGUUAAUCCGAGUGCUUCCUGCUAAAGGAAACUUUUGCUAGUCCUAAAAACACUAGCGAAUAAGGGGUGGGCAAGUUCUGGUGUCAGCCGCCGCGGUAAAACCAGCACCUCAAGUGGUCAGGAGGAUUAUUGGGCCUAAAGCAUCCGUAGCCUGCUCUGUAAGUUUCCGGUUAAAUCCAUCAGCUUAACUGAUGGGCCGCCGAAAAAACUGCAAAGCUAGGGAGUGGGAGAGGUAGACGGUACUCGGUAGGAAGGGGUAAAAUCCUUUGAUCUAUCGAUGACCACCAGUGGCGAAGGCGGUCUACCAGAACACGUUCGACGGUGAGGGAUGAAAGCUGGGGGAGCAAACCGGAUUAGAUACCCGGGUAGUCCCAGCUGUAAACGAUGCAGACUCGGUGAUGCCCUGGCUUGUGGCCAGUGCAGUGCCGCAGGGAAGCCGUUAAGUUUGCCGCCUGGGAAGUACGUACGCAAGUAUGAAACUUAAAGGAAUUGGCGGGGGAGCAC